UUAAAAAGCUCGUAGUUGAAUUUCGGGAUUUAUCCGUUGGUCGGGCUUUUGGGUCUGUACUGGCGUGAUGGAUUUCUACCUUCUGAAUAACCGGCAUGUCAUUAAUUUGGUGCGCCGGGGAAGCAGGACUGUUACCUUGAAAAAAUUAGAGUGCCUAAAGCAGGCUAUUGCCUGAAUACAUUAGCAUGGAAUAAUGAAAUAGGACGGCAUGGUUCUAUUUUGUUGGUUUCUAGGAUCACCGUAAUGAUUAAUAGGGAUAGUUGGGGG
rnacentral:rRNA from 1 species